CAAAAAAGAUAUACGUAAAUCUUAACUUACCGGCGUAAAAUGCUAUCCCAGUCGAGGUCUUAAUACUAUAAAUACUAUACGUGUUACGUCAGUAUAACUGUAAUGUAUGAACAUCUUGCCAUUAAAACAAAAUCACACUGUAUUGUUUAUCCUGGAGGAAUUAUAUAUUGACACCAGUGUUUAAAAAAAUCUUAGCAAUAAUUUAAACAGCAUAUACACGUAUACUGUGAGGGAGCAAAAAAAUCACGUGACCACAAAUGCGAACGACCACGGAGAAAUUCAGACAACAAAACGACAUUUGUAUAUCACACAGGAAGCACACACAUGUACAAAUCCGACAUGUCAACACCAGAAUGUGACCGAGAUUGUGCGGCAUGCGUUUCGAGGCAUUUGACCAUUGUAAAGGAGAUUAUUGUCAAGGACCAUAUGUUCGAUAGACGUUCGACGGAAAAGAAGAAGAGUGGUACAGUAUGUUUGGAUCGAAAUUCAUUACAAAAAGGAGCACUGGGUGUCAGAUGGGAAAAGGCGAAAUGAUUCGAAAACGUUAGUUACAUCCUAAAUGGGACUCCUAUGCAUUCAUUGUUGAUAUGAUCAUAUGGAAGUUCUAAUGCUACUGGGUAGUUCAUUUAUAGCCGGCGAAUGACAUGUAUAUUUAGUCAUUACUCAAUUACAAAGUUGUUUCUGAUUAAAUAUGUGUUGUGCUUUUAUUCUCUACUGACAUGCCACUUAUAUAGCAAUAAUUGUUAUUAUAAGGGAAUAAUUGUUAAGAUAAAUCAAAUAAAACUGAUAUUUGAA